UACGGAGGGGGCUAGCGUUGUUCGGAAUUACUGGGCGUAAAGCGCACGUAGGCGGAUCGGAUAGUCAGAGGUGAAAGCCCGGGGCUCAACCCCGGAACUGCCUUUGAAACUCCCGGUCUUGAGGUCGUGAGAGGUGGGUGGAAUUCCGAGUGUAGAGGUGAAAUUCGUAGAUAUUCGGAGGAACACCAGUGGCGAAGGCGGCCCACUGGCACGAUACUGACGCUGAGGUGCGAAAGCGUGGGGAGCAAACAGG
rnacentral:rRNA from 1 species